AGAGUUUGAUCAUGGCUCAGAUUGAACGCUGGCGGAAUGCUUUACACAUGCAAGUCGAACGGUAGAGGGGGCAACCCCUCGAGAGUGGCGAACGGGUGAGUAAUAUAUCGGAACGUGCCCAGUCGUGGGGGAUAACGUAGCGAAAGUUACGCUAAUACCGCAUACGAUCUAUGGAUGAAAGCGGGGGAUCGCAAGACCUCGCGCGAUUGGAGCGGCCGAUAUCAGAUUAGGUAGUUGGUGGGGUAAAGGCUCACCAAGCCAACGAUCUGUAGCUGGUCUGAGAGGACGACCAGCCACACUGGAACUGAGACACGGUCCAGACUCCUACGGGAGGCAGCAGUGGGGAAUUUUGGACAAUGGACGCAAGUCUGAUCCAGCCAUUCCGCGUGCAGGAUGAAGGCCCUCGGGUUGUAAACUGCUUUUGUACGGAACGAAAGGUUUCUAUUAAUACUAGGAGCUCAUGACGGUACCGUAAGAAUAAGCACCGGCUAACUACGUGCCAACAGCCGCGGUAAUACGUAGGGUGCAAGCGUUAAUCGGAAUUACUGGGCGUAAAGCGUGCGCAGGCGGUUAUGUAAGACAGAGGUGAAAUCCCCGGGCUCAACCUGGGAACUGCCUUUGUGACUGCAUAGCUAGAGUACGGUAGAGGGGGAUGGAAUUCCGCGUGUAGCAGUGAAAUGCGUAGAUAUGCGGAGGAACACCGAUGGCGAAGGCAAUCCCCUGGACCUGUACUGACGCUCAUGCACGAAAGCGUGGGGAGCAAACAGGAUUAGAUACCCUGGUAGUCCACGCCCUAAACGAUGUCAAUUGGUUGUUGGGUCUUCACUGACUCAGUAACGAAGCUAACGCGUGAAGUUGACCGCCUGGGG
rnacentral:rRNA from 1 species